AGCAGGGGAGACAACCAGAAGGAAUAUUAGUUGUUGUAGUUCGAAAUCGAAAGUGGCUUCCUAAAUUAAAUUAAUGAAUAAUAAGGGCGGAUAAAGCAAUUUUACCGACUUAAAGCAAUAUCUUUUGUGAAUAGCUUAAAAAAAACGUUUUUAAAUAAUUUACUGUGUGUGCCGCGUGUAAUGUGGAGCUGCUGAUAAUCAUUUUAUCUCGCUUUUAAACCUACGACUACGUUGCACUUGCAAGUUGCAAAUACGACCGACGUCAGAAAAUCUUGACCAGUAAAAGUGAACUAUACCAAUCAUUAAUGACGUCAUCGCUUCAAUCGAAAUCAUGAAAAAUCAAGGUAGUGACCAGAUCAGUCAAGAUUGCUUUCAUGAAGACCCAAUUACAGAAAACCAGCGACUGAAGAGCUUACUUCUGUGCAUGAGAUGCAAGUCCAACGACGCCAAUGUCCUGUUCCUACCAUGCGCCCACCAUCGGAUGUGCACGGACUGUGCACGUGGAAUCUCAAAAUGUCCUGUCUGCCAGCAGACUAUACAAACAAGCGUCCAGACAGUCCUAACGUAGAUUGUUCUGAAAUACACCAAGACAUUAAGGUCCCUUGCAAACUAUCUUAAACUUAACAGACUGGUUUCACAACAAAUAUUCUCAAAUAAUUCAACCAAAAUUCCGUUCGAGACAGGCGUUAACUGUUUAAUAAAUGUUAUUUCAGUUUCUGCAUUUCACGUAAAUGUACAACUGAUUGAUGCAUACAAUGUAAGUAAAUCCAAUGAAAAAUGCAAACGCAUUAGUAUAUAUAUAACAAUCCUCAGUAUCGAUAAAAACAUAGUGACGCGUGUCUGGUUAUGAUCUUAUCAUGAAAAGAGAUGUACUUUUAUAUCAAAUCAUAAUUUAAGUGCGACAUUGUAUUAAUACAUGUUCUUUCAAUUACUUUCAUGUUGUGCGUGUGAUUGCUUUGAUUGUAAAAUGAAAACGAUUAAAUA